rnacentral:rRNA from 1 species
CGUGUAGGUGGUUUGGUAAGUUGGAUGUGAAAGCCCAUGGCUUAACCAUGGAAGUGCAUUCAAAACUGCCAGACUAGAGUCCAUGAGAGGGAAGUGGAAUUCUUAGUGUAGGAGUGAAAUCCGUAGAUAUUAAGAGGAACACCCGUAGCGAAAGCGACUUCCUGGCAUGGUACUGACACUGAGACGCGAAAGCGUGGGGAGCAAACA